GUACCAUUGUGCAUGUACUCAUAAACAAUGCAGCUCCGCUGAGAGCAGAAGCCGAUCAUAGCUACUAUAUUUGGGUGCUGUACUUGACUAUGAAGUUUCACCUGCGAUUCGAAGUUAAUCGUUAGCGUCAUUCCCAUGAAGGACCGCUCGUCUGCUGGAUCAUGCAAUUUAACAGCGACCGCUAAUUGAUUGAUUCGUCCCCUAUACACAUUCUUCCCACGACAUACAGAGAAGUCUUCAGUGGCAGCUAUUAUUUCUUCAGCAGAAAACUCUCUGAACCCGAAUCCAGGGCCAUUCGAUCUUGAUACUUUUGCUAUUGCAUCCUUUUCUAUGCAGAACUCAAUCCUGCGCUUUCGCUCUCAAGUUCCAGUAUUUCCUCCCUCGUGCUGCCGAGUGUUUUGUUGAACUCAACCUUGUUUACGAUUUCUGCCUGGAUGCAGGUCUGAAGCUCCUCAGCCUGUGGAAAACAUAGUAGUUUUGGUUCUGAAUGAUGGAGUUACAAGUACGAUUUGGAAGCGCAAUUUUACCUGUGCAUUGCAUACGAUAAUCGCCCUUUUCGCUUUCUCGCGCCUCACUUUCGCAUUAUUUGCUAUCUUUCUGUUCAGCUGGAUCGUGCCUUGUGCAUCCCGCAUUGUGCGUUCGAGAAGCUCGAUUCUCGCUGCAGCGUCCUACAUAAUUUUUAAAAUAUGAUUUUUAUAAAUGUGAUAAUGAGAUACCAGAAUUAUGAAUACCUAACCACACACAAGGGUCAAAAAAGGAAAAAGAGAUUGAAGAAACACCAAUUCAUGUGCAUACUGCUGCAUUUCAUCCCUGCAGUUUUCCCACCGGGCCGGGGCAGACGUGUCUGUAAACCUCCUCGUAACACCCUUGUCAUCUUCCUCAUCUCUCAAAACGACUCUCUG